UGUCUAUGAAAUACUCUAGGUAUCGUCUCAGUUCUAUGAUGUUAUUAAAACAAAGUUCUAAUACACAUUUUCAAAAACUAAACCUUAAGAAAAGUUUUGAUGUGGUGGCACUAUCAUUGGAGAGAUUAGUCUACAUAUUGACAAAACUUAUAUUAUUUGGCAGUAUUGACACAACAGAUAUGGAGUAGAUUUAAUCACGUGAGUUGAGCAACCUUUUGCAGGGAAAUACCAAUACGAAGUGGGCGAAGGCGUGAAGGAGUGGACCAGCACAACAAUUCAAAUUUCAAGUUCUUCUUCUUCCCCUUCUCGAAUUCUUCCCCUUUGUCCAUUCCUUCCCACUCACACCUCCUUCCCGCUCAGAGCCACCCAGUCCGAACGGCCGGAACCCUAACCCUCGGCCCCAUGAAGAUCUCCGAGCUCUCCCCCGAAUACCGGCAGCCGCCGCCGCACGCUGGCUUCCUCACCGACCUCAGCAAGGUCGUCGCCGACGUCGAGUCGUUCGACACCUCUGACUCUUCGGCGGAGAAGCUCGCCGCUGAUUUCCGCCGCGUCCUCACCAACCUCGGCUCCGUCUCCUCGUCGCUCACCUAUGCCUGCAGGAUCCAGAUAUGGAAGCUCGCCAACCGCCUCUGGAACGCGUGCGUCGACCGCGCCAACUGCGCGGCCUUGUCCCGGGCCCCCUCCGCUCGCGCCGCCGAGGCGGAGAUAAGGCAAGCGGCGCCGGAGCUCCUCCUCCUCGCCGGCGCCCCCGAUGAAAUCCCCCUUGCUGUCGCGAAGACAGCCAACUACUUCCGCUGCGCCGGGCAGGAAUGGCUUAACCUCGGCCGCCUCGACCUCGCCUCCGCUUGCUUCGAGAAGGCCACGCUGCUGGUGUCCGCCGCCGCCACGGAAGAGGAACGGGACGUCUUGCUCGACCUGAACCUCGCGCGGGCACGCGCGGCAUCGGACGCGGGCGAUCAAUCCCUCGCCGUCGCGCUGCUGAGCCGGUCCAAGCCCCUCGCGUCCGCAUCUCCCGAGGGGAUCAAAUCCCUCGCCGAGGGGUACCUAUCCAUCGCCAAUGCCAUACUCACCACGAAACCCUCUGAUCCCGGUGUUGAAGCGUCCAGCCUUCUCACCGAGGCACUAAAUCUCUGCGAGAAGGUGCCCUCCCCCUCCGGCGCAAGCCCUAAACCCCCAAAUGUCGAGGGGCUCAAGGGUCGAUGUCUCCGUCUCUUCGCCCUCGAGCGAAUGCAAGCCAAUGACUAUGAGGGCGUCCUGCGCUCUAUCAGGAUCUCGAGGUCCUCAAUGGGGCUGGGAGGGGAGCACCCAAGCAUGGUGUUCAUGGCGCUGCAAGCGUGGCUGGGCAGCGGGAACGUGGCGGAGGCCGAGAGGGAGCUCGAGAGACUCAUGGCCAAUGCCGAAGCACCAGAGAAUCUGUGCGUGUCUGCUGCCGAGGUGUACCUUGCCUCCGCAGGGCCUGAGGCUGCACGUAAGGUGCUCGUUGCGCUUGCUGCGAGAUGCCGUGCAGGAGGUGCAGCAGCUGCUGUGAGAGUGGUGACGAAGGUGGUUGAUGGUGGUAUCAGUAGCACUGGACGCGCAAGAGCAAUCUCUGAGCUCGUGUCAGAUGAGAGGGUGGUCGCACUGUUUGAUGGCCUGGCAAACACCAGAGAGCGUGGCGCAAUGCAUACACUCCUGUGGAACUGCGGUACCGAGCAUUUCCAUGCAAAGAAUUAUGAUACAAGUGCAGACUUGAUUGAGAGAUCGAUGCUUUAUUUGCCCCGCGGAGAGGAAAGCAGACACCAGCGAGCACGCUGCCUCCGAGUCCUUACCCUUUGCCAUGUAGCCCUUCAACAUCUGGAUCGAGCGCAAGAGUUCAUCAAUGAAGCCGACAAGGUCGAACACAAUGUUCACUGUGUAUUUACAAAGAUUAAAAUCCAUCUGCAGAAGAAUGAAGAGGAUGAGACUAUCAAGCAGAUGAAAACCUUGGUGGGCUGUGCUGACUUCAACCCUCAAUUCCUAGUACUCAUAACUCAUGAAGCUAUUGCCUGCAAGUCUGUCCGGGUGGCAGUGGCUUCACUGACCUUCCUUCUUUGUCUCUAUUCUACCGGAAAGCCAAUGCCAAUGGCUGAGGUUGCUGUCCUCCGCAAUCUUAUUGAGCUCCUCCAUCGUGAGCAUGGGACCGAGGCUGAUAUCCUGAAGUACUUCAGACGGGCCAAGCUACGGAUGUCUGACCUCGGCGUGGAAGUAUUUUUUGGCAAUGGAGCUGUUGGGGUGCGUGAGCUUAACUGGUUUGCAGCCAAUAGCUGGAAUAUGGGUUUAAGGAUGGGGCAUGUGCAGAAUUAUGAUCUUAGUGCUGAGUUCUUUGAGCUUGCAGCAGAGUUUUUUGGCGCCUCAAGUAAUCUUGAGGGUGAUGGAAAUCAGUUCACUGUUUGCCAAGCAUUAAUCAUGAGCGUGACUGCCAUGCUCAAUGCUGAAGAGCAAAACAAUUCUCCAUUAACAGAUUGUGAUAUUAAAAAAGGUGUCGAGAUGCUCAGCAGAGCUGGCAAGCUGUUACCUUUGAUUUGGCCCUCAGUUCCGGUGGCCUCUGAUCAGGUGGAGACCAACAACUUUCUAUUUCUUCAUACCUUCAACUCCUACAAACUUCUUGACAGGAUGGACACCAACGCACAUCCUCAGCAGCUCCAACUAGUCAAGAAUUUCGCUUCCUCGAAAGCAUGCACACCAGACCAUCUUCUCAAACUUGGAAUAGCUGCUUCUAAAGGCACCCCACCGAACCUGCUGGUUGCUGAAUUUUCCCUGAAGGCUAGCAUCACCAGUGCCCUUGCCUCCCACUCCCCAAACUACAGAGUAAUCAGCGGCGCCCUAAGGAAGCUAGCCUGCCUUCCUGACUUGACAGACCUCAAUGGUAGCAAGAGUGAUGCAGCGUAUGAUGUAUAUCGACAAGCCUACCAGAUUGUAGUUGGACUGAGAGAUGGCGAGUACCCAUUUGAGGAAGGGAAGUGGCUUGCUAUGACCGCCUGGAACAAGUCAUAUUUGGCUGCACGGCUUAAUCAAGCUUCAGUUGCUAUAAAGUGGAUGAAGAUGGGAUUAGAUCUCUCUCGGCAUCUUGAGAGCAUGAAGGAAUAUAUAGCAGGCCUGGAGAAAUACUUGGAGAACUUCCAGAAAAAGUUUGAUAGUGAACCUGAUGAUUGUAUUUUGCUCGAAAAGAAACAUGAUGAAUCUAGUCAGCAAGAUGGGGGACCAAGUACUAGUAUGUCUUGUAGCAUGUCUCAGCCUGUUCUAGUAGUAUAGAUACUUCUGAGUGUUAACGACCAAGAAAUGCAUAGAUAAUUGAGCUAUGGUGCAAACUUUCUUUCACUGGAGCUCUGCAUAUGACAAGUCAAAUAUUAUUGUCUGAUGUUAGAUCUUUAGGGCCAGGUUCGUAUGGUGCUGUACGACCAUCGCCAGCUAGUGGUGCAGCAGCUACACCUCUCUGAUUCAGCAAACACCUGAAGCGUGACAGUCUUGAUGUGGCCGACCUUGGGUCUUCUGCAAGCUUCUCAAUUGGAGUCCACAAUCUCUCUUCAAGCCAAUGCAGUGUGAAUUGGACGCAACUACAUGAUAUCUGAUCGUUUGGGAAAACAAAUGAAAAACCUAACUUCACUUUUGUCGACAAAAGGACUAUCUGAUGGCCACAAUGAUGGGUAACCAACACCCCUGAAAAAAGUGCAAUAUGUACAAUUGUCAGUCAUGCACUCAUGCUUAUUGCUAUGCAGGAUAUAAUUUAAGUUGCACAUAUUGACACUCCAGCAAGAUUACUCUGGCAGACAACAGGAAGAAGAGUGGAGUUGCAGCAACUAGGAGUGACUGAGAACAGUUAAGUUGUAUGACUCAUCUACCCCGAAGCUUAGCUGCAGAAGAUGAACAUCACAGAGCAUUCGCAGAAUCAGAGUAUCAGACAUUGCAAUUCUUAAAGAAAUUUGCUGUUCAUCGCAUGAAAUGAGUAGAUUACCUCAUCCUCUGGUGAAUGAACAACCAUAUUAACACCAGUGAGCACAAAAGAACUUCGGUUUGUAUCGUCUGCAUUGUGGUUCAGUUUCAUUAAAUCAAGCAUUCUCUGGAAGGCGUCCUUCAAGAUUGCCUUCUCAUCAGAA